rnacentral:rRNA from 1 species
CACGCCGUAAACGAUGGAUACUAGCUGUUGGGAGUAAUCUCAGUGGCUAAGCGAAAGUGAUAAGUAUCCCACCUGGGGAGUACGUUCGCAAGAAUGAAACUCAAAGGAAUUGACGGGGGCCCGCACAAGCGGUGGAGCAUGUGGUUUAAUUCGAUGAUACGCGAGGAACCUUACCAAGGCUUAAAUGUAGAUUGACCGGUUUGGAAACAGACUUUUCGCAAGACAAUUUACAAGGUGC